rnacentral:misc_RNA from 1 species
UCUCCAUAUGAACCUAGUCCAAUCCUCUCUCCAAUAACCAGAUCUUCCCAAGGAAUUUCGCAUUCACCCACAUCUACAUCGUCAAAAAUUUGAUCAAUCCUGCUCGUGGAGGAAUCAAUUGAUGAGCUAGGACUUUCUGGUUCCUUUAGUUUCAGAUUGGUCCCCAAAAAUCUGUCAUAAGUGCACUUUCUCCGAUCAAAGCCAAUUUCAUUAUUUUCAUCAUCUUUAACUAUGACUCCUGCAUCAUUUGUGAAAUUCUUUGCAUCCCUCGGCUUUUCUUCUUUAACCUCAACUAAAGGAGACUUAUAGCAUUGAUUCAUGCCAGGUGCCAAAGCUGGCGAGUUACCACUCAAAGAAUUCAUAGCAUCACCACCUCUACUGGAUGUAUUCAAAUUACUGGAUGACUUGAGGCCCUGAGAAUAAACCUUCUCGGGAAUAGUAGAGCUGGUAGAAGCUAAUGACGACUGAUUAUAAUUAUUUGGUUCCUGAUUAAUUCUUGGAAAGAGACCGUCCAUAUAAUCAUAUUCUUUUUUCCUGGGGACUUCAUUGCAUGCAUAUCGAUUCUUCCACAUCAAUGGCACAGGGGGUCGACCAGGAAGGGGAUUAUUUUUCUGCCCUUUAAAGUCCUCAACUUUGUUCUCAGCAUGUUUGUUGUGUAUGAAACUUUUUCCAGUUCCUUUGAUCUGGAAAGGAUUAAGUUCUGAAAAAAGGAUUUUCGAAUCCUCUGAGCUAUUUUGACUAUAUGGAACAACAUUAACAUUCAUCCUCACAGUAUCACCUAUUCCUUGGGCUCCACGACUACCCUUGUACAGAGAAGACCCAAUAAUUGAGGAGGAAAUAUUAUCAUGUUGAUUAGAAGGAGCUGCUCUACUAGACAUACCAGAAGAACCAACACCAACAUCACUAUUUGCACCAGAGAAUGAUGCUGAGGACUCCACACUGUCAGCACUUAACCUUCUAUCCAGAGGCAAACUACCAUCCACUGAAGAGUUCUGACUACUGCCUUCACCAGAUAAUGGCUUUGAUCCAGCAUAAAGAAUUCCAGAUUCAUUAGAAGCAUGAAGACCAGAUAUCCUACUAGUUUUUGGAUUAUAUGAUCUAAAGGUAGUGUCCUUCACACUUAGAACAUCAGCCGGUAAAAGUGUCCCUGGAUCU